UACGGAGGGUGCGAGCGUUGUCCGGAAUCACUGGGCGUAAAGGGCUCGUAGGCGGCCAACUAAGUCAGACGUGAAAUCCCUCGGCUUAACCGGGGAACUGCGUCUGAUACUGGAUGGCUUGAGGUUGGGAGAGGGAUGCGGAAUUCCAGGUGUAGCGGUGAAAUGCGUAGAUAUCUGGAGGAACACCGGUGGCGAAGGCGGCAUCCUGGACCAAUUCUGACGCUGAGUGAGCGAAAGCCAGGGGAGCAAACGGG
rnacentral:rRNA from 1 species